AUACGGAGGAUCCGAGCGUUAUCCGGAUUUAUUGGGUUUAAAGGGUGCGUAGGCGGAAGAAUAAGUCAGUGGUGAAAGUUUGCAGCUCAACUGUAAAAUUGCCGUUGAAACUGUUUUUCUUGAGUGUAAAUGAGGUAGGCGGAAUGUGUUGUGUAGCGGUGAAAUGCUUAGAUAUGACACAGAACACCGAUUGCGAAGGCAGCUUACUAAGAUACAACUGACGCUGAGGCACGAAAGCGUGGGGAUC
rnacentral:rRNA from 1 species